rnacentral:rRNA from 1 species
GAUGAACGCUAGCGGCAGGCUUAAUACAUGCAAGUCAAGGGGUAGCAAGAUUGUAGCAAUACAAUUGUUGACGACCGGCAAACGGGUGCGGAACACGUACACAACCUUCCUACAAGUGGGGAAUAGCCCAGAGAAAUUUGGAUUAAUACCCCGUAACAUAGCGAUGUGGCAUCACAUUGCUAUUAUAGCUUCAGCGCUUGUUGAUGGGUGUGCGGCUGAUUAGAUAGUUGGCGGGGUAACGGCCCACCAAGUCUACGAUCAGUAGCUGAUGUGAGAGCAUGAUCAGCCACACGGGCACUGAGACACGGGCCCGACUCCUACGGGAGGCAGCAGUAAGGAAUAUUGGACAAUGGACGCAAGUCUGAUCCAGCCAUGCCGCGUGAAGGAUUAAGGUCCUCUGGAUUGUAAACUUCUUUUAUAAGGGACGAAAAAAGGUCUUUCUAGAUCGUCUGACGGUACCUUAUGAAUAAGCACCGGCUAACUCCGUGCCAGCCGCCGCCGUAAGAC